CGGAAGUUUGAGUCCUGGCGUCAGGAUGAACGCUGCGGCGUAGCUAACACAUGCAAGUCGACGAAGCGCAUGCCUGGAACCUCCGGGGGAAGGGCGAUAUGACUGAGUGGCGGACGGGUGAGUAACGCGUGGGCAACCUGCCCCGCACUGGGGGACAACAGCCGGAAACGGCUGCUAAUACCGCAUAUGCGCACAGCUUUGCAUGAAGCAGUGUGGAAAACUCCGGUGGUGCGGGAUGGGCCCGCGUCUGAUUAGCUGGUUGGCGGGGCAACGGCCCACCAAGGCGACGAUCAGUAGCCGGCCCGAGAGGGUGGACGGCCACAUUGGGACUGAGACACGGCCCAGACUCCUACGGGAGGCAGCAGUGGGGGAUAUUGCACAAUGGGGGGAACCCUGAUGCAGCGACGCCGCGUGAGCGAAGAAGUACCUCGGUAUGUAAAGCUCUAUCAGCAGGGAAGAAAAUGACGGUACCUGACUAAGAAGCCCCGGCUAAAUACGUG
rnacentral:rRNA from 1 species